rnacentral:rRNA from 1 species
UACGAAGGGGGCGAGCGUUGUUCGGAAUUACUGGGCGUAAAGGGCGCGUAGGCGGCCGAUCAAGUCAGAUGUGAAAGUCCUGGGCUUAACCUGGGGACUGCAUUUGAUACUGAUUGGCUUGAAUUCGGGAGAGGAUAGCGGAAUUCCCAGUGUAGAGGUGAAAUUCGUAGAUAUUGGGAAGAACACCGGUGGCGAAGGCGGCUAUCUGGACCGACAUU